rnacentral:rRNA from 1 species
GAUGAACGCUGGCGGCGUGCCUAAUACAUGCAAGUCGAGCGAAUGGAUUAAGAGCUUGCUCUUAUGAAGUUAGCGGCGGACGGGUGAGUAACACGUGGGUAACCUGCCCAUAAGACUGGGAUAACUCCGGGAAACCGGGGCUAAUACCGGAUAACAUUUUGAACCGCAUGGUUCGAAAUUGAAAGGCGGCUUCGGCUGUUACUUAUGGAUGGACCCGCGUCGCAUUAGCUAGUUGGUGAGGUAACGGCUCACCAAGGCAACGAUGCGUAGCCGACCUGAGAGGGUGAUCGGCCACACUGGGACUGAGACACGGCCCAGACUCCUACGGGAGGCAGCAGUAGGGAAUCUUCCGCAAUGGACGAAAGUCUGACGGAGCAACGCCGCGUGAGUGAUGAAGGCUUUCGGGUCGUAAAACUCUGUUGUUAGGGAAGAACAAGUGCUAGUUGAAUAAGCUGACACCUUGACGGUACCUAACCAGAAAGCCACGGCUAACUACGUGCCAGCCGCCGCUGUUA